ACGCUGAAGCACCAGCUUGCUGGUGUGGAUGAGUGGCGAACGGGUGAGUAAUACGUGAGUAACCUGCCCUUGACUCUGGGAUAAGCCCGGGAAACUGGGUCUAAUACUGGAUGCUACAUGUCACCGCAUGGUGGUGUGUGGAAAGGGUUUACUGGUCUUGGAUGGGCUCACGGCCUAUCAGCUUGUUGGUGAGGUAAUGGCUCACCAAGGCGACGACGGGUAGCCGGCCUGAGAGGGUGACCGGCCACACUGGGACUGAGACACGGCCCAGACUCCUACGGGAGGCAGCAGUGGGGAAUAUUGCACAAUGGGCGAAAGCCUGAUGCAGCGACGCCGCGUGAGGGAUGACGGCCUUCGGGUUGUAAACCUCUUUCAGCAGGGAAGAAGCCACAAGUGACGGUACCUGCAGAAGAAGCGCCGGCUAACUACGUGCCAGCAGCCGCGGUAAUACGUAGGGCGCAAGCGUUGUCCGGAAUUAUUGGGCGUAAAGAGCUCGUAGGCGGUUUGUCGCGUCUGCUGUGAAAGCCCGGGGCUUAACCCCGGGUGUGCAGUGGGUACGGGCAGACUAGAGUGCAGUAGGGGAGACUGGAAUUCCUGGUGUAGCGGUGGAAUGCGCAGAUAUCAGGAGGAACACCGAUGGCGAAGGCAGGUCUCUGGGCUGUUACUGACGCUGAGGAGCGAAAGCAUGGGGAGCGAACAGGAUUAGAUACCCUGGUAGUCCAUGCCGUAAACGUUGGGCACUAGGUGUGGGGGACAUUCCACGUUUUCCGCGCCGUAGCUAACGCAUUAAGUGCCCCGC
rnacentral:rRNA from 1 species